rnacentral:tRNA from 1 species
GGAUGUAACUCAGUUGGUAGAGUGCUUGCCUAGCUUGUAUAAUGUCCUGGGUUCAAUCCCCAGAACCA